rnacentral:lncRNA from 1 species
CUGUUUCACCCAGAAUGCAGUGUUGCUUCUAACUCACUGUGGCUGCCAUGUUGGACUGCUUGGCUCUGGGGUCCUACUGAGUCCAAGCUUCAAGAAGCCAUCGCUAUGACAGGUUUGGAUCAGCUCCAGGUGUCCGUGGCAUGGCAUGAACUCCAGUUCCUUGAUCUAGUCUUAUAUUUUGUUCCCCCAGCUAGGCACUCUCAGCCACACUCCCGGUGACCCCCAGCUCCUGGGACACCCUGCAGCCCUUGGGGAGAUAAGCAAUUGCUUCCCAUGGCAGAGACUGUCCUUCCCCACCCAGGCUCUGCUGAGACCCGAGUCUGACCUAUGCGGGAGACAGGAUGGAUCUUAGAGAAUUCUGUGAAGCAAGGAGUGGAGAUGGCCGGGGGCUGCGGGGAAAGGGAUUGAGGAGUGACUGUCUCAUGGGCACAGACCUUCAGUUUGGGAAGAUGGAAGAGUUCUGGAGGUGGAUGGUAUGUUGGUGCCUGACAAUACAACUGCAUUUAAUAUGGACCUAAAAUUGGUUAGGAGGAUAAAUUCUAUAUUAUGUGCAUUUUAGCAUAAUAGUGAAUAAAGAUGAGACAUAUCUGCCUCACAUCAGGACUUCUGAUGGCAGAGGGAGGGUGCUGUCCUCAGAGGGCUCAAGGGAAUUAGGAAUUUCAAAGUCCUAACACCAAGGCCCCCUCCUUCCCUGUCCAUGCCUGAGGCAAGAAAACUGCUGGAUGUGCCCAUGCGGUCUCCCUGGUUUCACUACCUUUGAUCAAAUCCUCGGCUUGCCUGUGGGCAGGGCCUGCCCCUUGGCUUUGGGAGAUGAGGCCAUCUUUAGAGGGAAGGAAGCCCUCUAGGUUUCCUGGUUUGCCCUGAAUCAAUGGCCUCUCAUUUGCUCCUUGCAAGGCUUCUAAUGCAGGUAGAAGAAGCAACUAGUGCCAUUUAAUUACCAUUGCUCUAAACCUUUCAAGUGCAGGAGCUAUUGCACAACCUGGUGCUCCACUUUCCACUGCACCUCCCUCUCCACCGCGGGGGAAGGUCUUAGGAAUUGUGAAGCAUGGCGCGCUAAGGGUCCUCC